rnacentral:rRNA from 1 species
AUUGAACGCUGGCGGCAGGCUUAACACAUGCAAGUCGAGCGGAGAGAGGUAGCUUGCUACUGAUCUUAGCGGCGGUCGGGUGAGUAAUGCUUAGGAAUCUGCCUAUUAGUGGGGGACAACAUUUCGAAAGGAAUGCUAAUACCGCAUACGUCCUACGAGAGAAAGCAGGGGAUCUUCGGACCUUGCGCUAAUAGAUGAGCCUAAGUCGGAUUAGCUAGUUGGUGGGGUAAAGGCCUACCAAGGCGACGAUCUGUAGCGGGUCUGAGAGGAUGAUCCGCCACACUGGGACUGAGACACGGCCCAGACUCCUACGGGAGGCAGCAGUGGGGAAUAUUGGACAAUGGGCGGAAGCCUGAUCCAGCCAUGCCGCGUGUGUGAAGAAGGCCUUAUGGUUGUAAAGCACUUUAAGCGAGGAGGAGGCUACUUUAGUUAAUACCUAGAGAUAGUGGACGUUACUCGCAGAAUAAGCACCGGCUAACUCUGUGCGAGCAGCCGCCGUAAAAC